rnacentral:rRNA from 1 species
AUUGAACGCUGGCGGCAGGCCUAACACAUGCAAGUCGAGCGGAUGAAGGGAGCUUGCUCCUGGAUUCAGCGGCGGACGGGUGAGUAAUGCCUAGGAAUCUGCCUGGUAGUGGGGGAUAACGUCCGGAAACGGGCGCUAAUACCGCAUACGUCCUGAGGGAGAAAGUGGGGGAUCUUCGGACCUCACGCUAUCAGAUGAGCCUAGGUCGGAUUAGCUAGUUGGUGGGGUAAAGGCCUACCAAGGCGACGAUCCGUAACUGGUCUGAGAGGAUGAUCAGUCACACUGGAACUGAGACACGGUCCAGACUCCUACGGGAGGAAGCAGUGGGGAAUAUUGGACAAUGGGCGAAAGCCUGAUCCAGCCAUGCCGCGUGUGUGAAGAAGGUCUUCGGAUUGUAAAGCACUUUAAGUUGGGAGGAAGGGCAGUAAGUUAAUACCUGGCUGUUUUGACGUUACCAACAGAAUAAGCACCGGCUAACUUCGUG